UACGGAGGGGGCGAGCGUUAUUCGGAAUUAUUGGGCGUAAAGGGCGCGUAGGCGGCUGUACAAGUCAAAGGUGAAAUCCCUCGGCUCAACUGAGGAACUGCCUUUGAAACUGUACGCUUGAGGCCGGGAGGGGGUAGCGGAAUUCCCAAUGUAGCGGUGAAAUGCGUAGAUAUUGGGGAGGAACACCAGUGGCGAAGGCGGCUACCUGGACCGGUUCUGACGCUGAGGCGCGAAAGCGUGGGUAGCAAACAGG
rnacentral:rRNA from 1 species